rnacentral:rRNA from 1 species
UGGGGAAUAUUGCACAAUGGGGGAAACCCUGAUGCAGCAACGCCGCGUGAGCGAAGAAGUAUUUCGGUAUGUAAAGCUCUAUCAGCAGGGAAGAAAGUGACGGUACCUGAGUAAGAAGCCCCGGCUAACUACGUGCCAGCAGCCGCGGUAAUACGUAGGGGGCAAGCGUUAUCCGGAUUUACUGGGUGUAAAGGGAGCGUAGACGGCGGCGCAAGUCUGAUGUGAAAGCCUGGGGCUCAACCUCGGAACUGCAUUGGAAACUGUGCUGCUAGAGUGCCGGAGAGGUAAGCGGAAUUCCUAGUGUAGCGGUGAAAUGCGUAGAUAUUAGGAGGAACACCAGUGGCGAAGGCGGCUUACUGGACGGUAACUGACGUUGAGGCUCGAAAGCGUGGGGAGCAAACA